CCUACGGGAGGCAGCAGUGGGGGAUAUUGCACAAUGGGGGGAACCCUGAUGCAGCGACGCCGCGUGGGUGAAGGAGUGCUUCGGCAUGUAAAGCCCUAUCGGCAGGGAAGAAGCAAGACGGUACCUGACUAAGAAGCCCCGGCUAACUACGUGCCAGCAGCCGCGGUAAUACGUAGGGGGCGAGCGUUAUCCGGAUUCACUGGGUGGAAAGGGAGCGUAGACGGCCAUGCAAGCCAGGGGGGAAAGCCCGGGGCCCAACCCCGGGACUGCCCUUGGAACUGCAUGGCUGGAGUGCGGGAGGGGCAGGCGGAAUUCCUGGUGUAGCGGUGAAAUGCGUAGAUAUCAGGAGGAACACCGGCGGCGAAGGCGGCCUGCUGGACCGCGACUGACGUUGAGGCUCGAAAGCGUGGGGAGCGAACAGGAUUAGAUACCCUUGUAGUC
rnacentral:rRNA from 1 species